rnacentral:rRNA from 1 species
AUUGAACGCUGACGGAAGGCUUAACACAUGCAAGUCGAGCGAGCGGCGGACGGGUAAGUCAUAUAGGGGGUCUGCCCGGUAGAGGGGGACAACUACUGGAAAAGGUAAAUACUACCGCAUACUGUCGGAUAACCCAUAUGGGAUUAGCUAGUAGGUGAGGUAACGGCUCACCUAGGCGACGAUCCCUAGCUGGGCUGAGAGGAUGAUCAGCCACACUGGGACUGAGACACGGCCCAGAGGCAUACGGAGGCAGCAGUGGGGAAUAGUGCACAAUGGGUGCAAGCUUGAUGAAGCUAGGCCGCGUGUAUGAAGAAGGCCCUAGGGUUGUAAAGUACUUUCAGUCGGGAGGCGUUACCGACAGAAGAAGCACCGGCUAACUCCGUGCCAGCAGCCGCGGUAAUAC